GCUGGUGUAGCUCAGCCGGUAGAGCAGCGCAUUCGUAAUGCGCAGGUCGUCAGUUCGAGUCUGACUACCAGCU
rnacentral:tRNA from 1 species